CAGUGUGAAGAAAUGAGGCUGUCAUGCAUGAUCUAACAGUGAUUUACACACACAAUUAAGCAUACAUCAGAUCUGGCGAUUAGUACUCAGUCGACUGUAUGCCAACAGUGCCGAUUAAUCAGAGCUAGAUCAUGCUGGCAGCUUCACUCAUUCACACG
rnacentral:pre_miRNA from 1 species